rnacentral:rRNA from 1 species
UACGUAGGGUGCAAGCGUUAAUCGGAAUUACUGGGCGUAAAGCGUGCGCAGGCGGUUGUGCAAGACCGAUGUGAAAUCCCCGGGCUUAACCUGGGAAUGGCAUUGGUGACUGCACGGCUAGAGUGUGUCAGAGGGGGGUAGAAUUCCACGUGUAGCAGUGAAAUGCGUAGAGAUGUGGAGGAAUACCGAUGGCGAAGGCAGCCCCCUGGGAUAACACUGACGCUCAUGCACGAAAGCGUGGGGAGCGAACGGG